CAAGGCCUUGGUCCUGAGCCUAGCAUUGCCUACCAGCUAUGAUCAUACAUGCAAGUAUCCGCACUCCAGUGAGUAAGCCAUCGCGAACUCAAACAGCUCGCGUCGAGCAGGCAUCAGGCACACGCACGCAGCCCAUGACGCCAAGCAAACCAUGCCACAUCCACACGGACCCCAGCAGUAACAAACAUUGAGCAAUAAAUGUAAAUUUGACUCAGCAAUAGCACCGAACAAGCCGGCAAAUUUCGUGCCAGCCGCCGCGGUUACACGAAACGGCCAAAGAUAAUGCAACCUCGGCGUAAAUAGUGACUAGAUCAGCCCUACAGCCCAAAGAAGCAAGCCGCCCUUGGCAGUGAAAUGCGCAUGGGCCAAAAACACCACAUUCUUUGCCGAACGGACACAUUGACCACACGAAAACCAGGACACAAACUAGGAUUAGAUACCCUACUAUGCCUGGACGUAAACACCGACGCCUAAUAAAACGGAGGCGCCCGCCAGAGAACUACAAGCGAAAAGCUUAAAACUCAAAGGACUUGGCGGUGUCCCGCCACAGACUAGAGGAGCCUGUCCAAUAACCCGAUGCCACCCGAUACACCCAACCGCCUAUUGCAAAGCACAGCCUAUAUACCGCCGUCUCCAGCCCGCCUUAUGAAAGCAAAACAGCGGGCACAAUUGUCUAACGCACAAGCACGACAGGUCGAGGUGUAGCUAAUUAGGCGGACAAGAUGGGCUACAUUCUCCCCCAGGGAGCACAACGAAUAACAAAAUGAAACCUUUUGCUUGAAGGAGGAUUUAGAAGUAAAAUGACAAAGACUACUCAUUUUAACCCUGCUCCGGGACACGCACACACCGCCCGUCACCCUCUUCGACGCACCACAAACCAUACAUAAACACACACCUGCACCAGAGAAGAGAUAAGUCGUAACAUGGUAAGUGUACUGGAAAGUGCACUUGGACCUCA
rnacentral:rRNA from 1 species